AUUGAACGCUGGCGGCAUGCCUUACACAUGCGAGUCGAACGGCAGCACGGGUGCUUGCACCUGGUGGCGAGUGGCGAACGGGUGAGUAAUACAUCGGAACAUGUCCUGUAGUGGGGGAUAGCCCGGCGAAAGCCGGAUUAAUACCGCAUACGAUCUACGGAUGAAAGCGGGGGACCUUCGGGCCUCGCGCUAUAGGGUUGGCCGAUGGCUGAUUAGCUAGUUGGUGGGGUAAAGGCCUACCAAGGCGACGAUCAGUAGCUGGUCUGAGAGGACGACCAGCCACACUGGGACUGAGACACGGCCCAGACUCCUACGGGAGGCAGCAGUGGGGAAUUUUGGACAAUGGGCGAAAGCCUGAUCCAGCAAUGCCGCGUGUGUGAAGAAGGCCUUCGGGUUGUAAAGCACUUUUGUCCGGAAAGAAAUCCUUGGCCCUAAUACGGUCGGGGGAUGACGGUACCGGAAGAAUAAGCACCGGCUAACUACGUG
rnacentral:rRNA from 1 species